rnacentral:lncRNA from 1 species
GGGGGGAAUAUUAGAAACUAAGGAGGAAACAUACCUAACUCCGGAGGGGAGAAGACAACUGGCAAUGGAUAUAGGAGACGAGGGGGAGGGAUUUGGUGUUUGGGGUAAUGAGAGGCGAUCGGGGGCAUGGAGCCAGUUGGUGGAGAGUUAGUUGAUAAAGUAGGCUCAAGUAUAGGAAGAGGACGAGGAGGUAUGGGGGUCAUCUGAGUAAGCAUCUCAGAACAAGGAACCCGGAGAAGGAGUUGGGCAAUCAGAAAAAAAGAGAACAGUUUCCCAAAAAACGUGACUCUAACAAGUGAGACAUAUGACGAGGACAGGAUCAUAACAACCUAUACCCCUUGACAUCGAGGAAUACCCGAGGAAAAUACAACGUACGGCUUAUCAUCUAGUUAGUACGGGUGUUGGGUCCCAAAGGACACGGGGGAUAAAGGAAAUAGGGUAUUAGCAGGAUGAAGGACAUGGCGAGGAGCCCGCCUGUAAUACCCGACUGGGAGGCCGAUUUGAUAAGGUAGGUAGCAAGUGAGAACUGCCAUGUGCCACGAAAUACUUAGGUACCCUCCUACCCCGUAAGAGACACGAAACCCGACAUAAAAAAAAUUAUGACAAUUUGUUAGCUCAGCUACCCCAUUCUUCUCAAGGUGGUGUAGGACAUGUAAGUUGUUGGGAGUUACCACUUUUUUUUAAGUUUCCCACAGAAACUCAUGUGGAUAUACUUCUCGACCAUAUCGGACCUGAUGUUACGCCACAUUCAGUGUAAUUGGGUUUUGAUCAUUUGUAGGAAGUGAGUAAAGUGAGGAAAAAUCUCAGAUUAUGAAGCAGUAAGGUAGGACUAAGUACAACGCAUGUUAAAUCAUCUAUGAAGGUUGACAUAAUAGCGGUGUGAGAGAGUGCAGUAACUGGAGACGGUCCCCAUACGUCUGAAUGAAUAAGUCCAAAGGCACUAGGGGCCUACGAUGCAUACCGAGGAAUAUAAGAGGGGCACGAGGAUGCGUAGUAAACUCACAAAAGCACAGUUAAAAAAUUAAAUUUUUGACAUGCUUAUGAACGAGGAAAAAAGACAACAUAAAUAUUGAAAGUUAGCAUGCCCUAAACGAGGCAGCAUGCCACAAAUCUAAGGUGUGAAACAAAAAAAUAGACGCCUUUAAACCAGACGAACUUAAAACAGAUUGACUCUAACACUGGAGGAGGAGAAAAACCUGGAAGGCUAGAUGACACCGUACCUAGAGGUUAAAGGAUCCCCAAGUAGUAUAGUCCAUCCCGCUUCAUACCCCUUGCCAAAAAUCUUCUUCGAAUCAGGUCCUGCAAGAAGCAAAGAGAUGGUAAGAAAAACAAAGGCACAAAUUAAGAUAUUUUGCAAAGGGGACGACUAAAGACGACUGAACAAAAAGAGGAUUAGAGGGGCAAAAUGAGGUGGUACAUUAAAUAUACAGAUGAAAGGGUAAUAUCGGAGAGGAUAAAAAACGAGCAAACUUCCCUGAUACGAAUGGGGAAUGGGAUGAACCAUUCAGAAUAUAAAUUGAUUGAUGAACAAAAGUAAUAAGGAGUAAAGGUAGUAAGCUCACCAAUCAAUGGAUUAUUUGCUCCUGAUCAAAAUCCAAGUGGGGUGACCUGACUACCCAUGAAGAGCGGGAGGAGUCUAUGCAACUAUAGCGGUGGGGGCCAAAGGAUUGGGACGGCAGGUGCUAAUCCCAGGUGACUUGCCAAGAUGAGCAAUCAGAGCUGAAAGUUGUGAAAGUGUUUUGAAGUCAAGUAAAUUAGCAGGUAUAGGGUCCACUUCAGCAAUACCGCCAGUCCGGGGUAGGCCUCUACCUCGGCCCCACUACGGUCCACCCCCACGACCACCUCCACGAGGUCGAGAAAACCGUUGCUUCAAAUCAGGAUGGAGGAACCCAACAGCGAUCCAAUGAGGUGGACCGGACCUUGUGACAGUGUGAACAAUAUAAGUGGUCCCUGAAGAAAAAACAAAUGCCAUAUGUUGUUUAGGAAACAAUAGGAGAGGACUCGAGUAGUGAAAAGGAUGGUUUAAAGACGGACGCCUCUGCUCAUCACCAUCCACGUAGCAAACGCCUCAUUAAAGGGAAGACAGCUGGUUGAUGUGUUUAAAAUGAGUGCGAAGAGGUCCCAAACUCAGGUUUUUAAACCCAUCAAAAACUGAUAGGUAUGUUGACAUCAAGGGCAUUGGACUAACGCUCCAAUCAAUAGGAAAAUCACUGAGGGCUGUAUUGCAAGCUAAUUACUCCCAUCUUAGUCUGAAGAUAUCCAAAAUAACGGCAAUAGAGAGUUCCAAGGAAUGAGCUGAGAUGAAUGAGCGAUCUUCGGUCGGAUAACUCAAACAAUCGGGACUCUUGCGGGAAUGGCAUACAUCUGGGUCAAUGCAGUCCCACAACCCCAUGGACAGUAUCAUGGUACAUAAACAUGUGUAGACUCGAUCUCCAUCGAGUUGAACAUUCCAGCCCACGAUAAUACAGUAUCUGGAAAUCUAUUUCAUCAAACUUGGGAUCAGAUUCAGCAGGUUUUGGUUCUUUUCCCAGAAUCCAAGGGUCUUGACGCUUUUCACCAAGGAAAAAAAAAGCUGUGGAAUGGAUGAAGGAACGAGACCAAGCAAUGAAAGUUCUUUCCAUUCACAACACGCUCGUUAAACGUUGAGCUGGUGAGACUGAGAAAGAGAAACUGGAACUGGGGCUCAAAACCGGAAACUAUAUGGGCUGGGGAAACUCUUUGAGGAGUCAUCCAUACGCAACACCAAGAACACAAUCGUAAAUUAAUCAGACUUUUUGUACUUUUUUGUUUAGAAUGCAUCAUUACCUAGGCCAGCAUGGUAGACUGCAAAAUGAAGGAUGGGCUUGGGAUGCGUGGUUUGUGGGUGUUGGCUGGACUAGGCUGCACAGGCUGGCUGGCGGACUGGGCUGGCUAGAACUGCCCAUAGCCUUGGUGCACAGGCUGGCUGGCUGGACUAGGCUGUGGAUGAAUUCGGGCUGCACGGCCUUGGCUGCACAGGCUGGAUUGGUGUGGACUGGGCUGCACAGGCUGGAAGGGGGGUAGGGUAGAAUGCAGGGGCUGUGCUGAAAACUACAAGCCUUGGAUUGGCUCUGCACGGUGCAGCGGCAGGGCUGCGUGGUCAAGGAGCAGGGACUGAUGGUGGUGGGGCUGCGUGCUGCUGGACAGAUGGGCUGCGUGGUUGCUGUUGGGACUACCCCACGCCAGGGCUGCACAGGAUGUGCUUGGCUGCACGGUGCAGGGGCAGGCUGCUGGUGGUGGCUGUUAGGGUUUGGGCUGCUUUUUACGACCAUUGGAGGCUAGGUUUUUGUUUUUUGUUGUUGUUGACUUGAUGCCAAGAAGAAGAAGUUUAGAAGGCUUAAAUUUUAUUCCUCCAAAGUUCUCAAGAUCUAAUACACAUGUAGGAAUUAAAUUAGGAAAGAAAUAAGGGAAAAAUUAAAAAGAGAAAUCAUUGGUAUUGGUCAACAUGACCUAUUAUAAAUAACCUACGAUAGGAAAUUCUCAUUAAAUUAAGGUAAAGAAAUCUUCUUAACCUGCCAACAGAUAAUCAGUUUGUGAAAAGCCACCAAAACAACAGACUUACAGAGCGUGACGCCCCCGACAGAGUUUGCUACAGAGAAGUUCAUCCAAUUACGUAGCAUUAAGACGAAAAUUUACAAAUUGAUAAUGACACGUAUUCACAUUUUAGGUACUAGGUGUAUUUUAUACACGACUGGAAGGCACGCCCAUCAACUUUUGCGCUUAAUGUUUGGAUGAUUGACCACUUAAAAAUGUUUGAACUUGAGACUUAGUGGUUGAAAUCCUAUGUUUUUGCCAUCAAACCAACCCUCUUGAUUACUGCACAUUAUUGUUCUUUUCACAUGGUUUUCGAUAUUCAGCUGAUUGAUUGGUAAAGUUUAAAUAUUUGGUAGUGUCGUUGAGAUGAAAACCAAUUUAUAGUGAAGAUUAUUAUAUAUGUGAUAGUCAUGAAUAAUUUAUUAAUUUGUUCUUGAUGUUGAUAUAACUAAUUAACAUAGUAGAAUAUUUGAAUCGGACUUCAAUGCGAUGAAGGUAGGUAAGAAAGUGGCAAACCACGUAAAUUUAGUAUCUUGUGAUUAUUUCAUUGUUAUUUCAUUUGUAUUGUUUGUUAAUUUGUUUUAAUCAUUAAUUUGUUUGAACCUAGAGAAGGAAGACGACAGAUGAAUUAAUUAAAAUUCAUAUGGGAGAAUUUGAAGAAAAUUGUCUUUUGUUGGUUUUUCACCACGGUGAGAGAAUUUCUAAUGAUUUAUGUCAUUCUAGCAAUGUUAUUUUCAAAAUUUAUGAUUUUUACCAUUUUAGCCGUAUUAGUGUUAAAAUUUAGUAUAUUACAAUAUUAUUUUGUCAUUAAUAUUGUUGCAUUGAUUGAAUAUUAUUUUAGUUAUACUAAUAUUUUUUUUAUUAUGGAUCAAAUUUUCACCUAGUAUCAAAAUUGCAUUUUAUUGAUCAUUGUGAAAACAGGCUACCUAAAUUUAAAAAGACACAUUUUGACUAGUUAAUUUGGUUUUAAUUGCUGGGAUGCUCUUAGGUCAAGUUCAUACUUGACCCUUGUGUCUAUUUGUCAUUAAACUUAAUUCAGUAGCUAGCACAAGAUCAGAAAGCUAUAUUGACAUUGGACUUGAAAUGUAAGAGAUUAACUGAUAUAAUUGAAAAUUAAAGUUAUAAAAUGAGAUUAGUAAAAGUACAUUAGAGAAAAGUUUAACUUUUUGAACAUUAAAGACGGGAUGAAGUAGAAAUUUUUAAUUUGCCAAAAUCAUCUGAUUGAACAAGUUAGAGAGGAGAGAGAGAGUGACGUCUUGUUCCCCUUUUCUGGGCCAUUAAACGCGCCAGUGGCUAGGGGACUGUCUCAUUGUUUGCGUCUGGAGGAAUACCAAGUUGGAAACAACCUUGUGUAGGCCAGUCCAUGUUUUCUCCUACCCAUUUCCAAAGGAGUUUGUAUGUAGAACUCCGUAGGGCACUGAGUUUGAGGAGGGAGGCAAUUCGUCUCU